AAUAAGUGCAGUUUUGCGCUGUUCAUGUCUAACGUUUAACCGCUUGUCUUAUUUGAAAACUUUUUAUGAUUAGUACUUUUAUUGUUAUUAGAUGAUAAAACAUAAAUAAUAUUUUAUGUGUGACUAUUUUUUUAUUUUUUUCAUAAAUUUUUUAAAUAAGACGAACAGUCAAACGUUAGAUACGGAUUUCCACGGCUGCACUUAUU
rfam:Oryza nivara chromosome 11, whole genome shotgun sequence.